rnacentral:lncRNA from 1 species
UGAUGUUCUCUUAAACCUGUUCAUCAAGACCUUCAAGAUGUCCCGCGGAGAGCUUACCUGUAACAUACUGAACCUAAAGUCAGAAACUAAAAUGAGUCUUCUUUUAAAGGCCAAAAAGAAAAUGGAAAAAAGAAAUGAUAUGAGUACUGUUCCAACUGGUGCUGCCUUUGCAAAUAUGUCAUCAAGAGUUGAUACCCAGAAGGGCAUUGGUAUUGCUCCUACUUAUUCUGCAUUUGCAAGUAUGUCAUCAAGAGUUGAUACCCAGAAGGGCAUUGGUACUGUUCCUACUAGUGCUGCCUUUGCAAGUAGUAUGUCACCAGGAGUUGAUACCCAGAAGGGCAUUGGUACUGCUCCUACUGGUGCUGUGUUUGCAAGUAUGUCAUCAAGAGUUGAUACCCAGAAGGGCGUUGGUACGUCUACUACCAGUGCUAUCUUUGCAAGUAUGUCAUCAAGAGUUGAUACCCAGAAGGGCAUUGGUACUGCUUCUGCUGGUGCUACCUUUGCAAGUAUGUCAUCAAGAGUUGAUACCCAGAAGGGCGUUGGUACUUCUACUACCAGUGCUAUCUUUGCAAGUAUGCCAUCAAGAGCUGAUACCUUGAAGUGCAUUGGGACUGCUCCUACUGGUGCUGCAUUUGCAAGUAUGUCAUCAAGAGUUGAUACCCAGAAGGGCAUUGGUACUUCUACUACUGGUACUACCUUUGCAAGUAUGUCAUCAAGAGCUGAUACCUUGAAGUGCAUUGGGACUGCUCCUACUGGUGCUGCCUUUGCAAGUAUGUCAUCAAGAGCUGAUACCUUGAAGGGCAUUGGUACUGCUCCUACUGGUGCUACCUUUGCAAGUAUGUCAUCAAGAGUUGAUACCCAGAAGGGCAUUGGUACUAUUCCUACUUGUGCUGCGUUUGCAAGUAUGUCAUCAAGAGUUGAUGCCCAGAAGGGCAUUGGUACUGCUCCUACUGGUGCUGUCUUUGCAAGUGUAUCAUCAAGAGUUGAUACCCAGAAGGGCAUUGGGACUGCUCCUACUAGUGCUGCGUUUGCAAGUAUGUCAUCAAGAGUUGAUACCCAG